UUUCCCAGUAUCACGCUGAUUGUCACUUACAGUAAAGCUCUCUGACACAUGAGAAGUGCCUGAAACGUGCAUGUUUCCUCUCCUGUCACUCUGGGGCACUGAGGCAUUGUCCUGUGAACCUUCUCAGGUCUGUCACUGAGGAAACAGAGAACUCAUUCAAUCUUUGGCUAUAAACUGCUGAGCUACCUCCACUUCAAGUUCUGUUCCUCGCUUCAGCAAUGCACAGAAAAUAGUCUCCAGUUUCCUUGAGGAAUUGAGACUGGCAGGUCCCAGCUCCCAGUACCCUUUUACCCAGUGCACAAGUGAUUUCCUCAAAAUGAGUUUCUCUGUGGCUUUUGGGCAUUAAUGUGCCAAUUUUCUUCCUGCUACUGAAUAUUAUCUGAUCCUGAAGCUGGCUGCAGUUGAAUUAAUGUUGCUGUCAAUCA